AACGAAGGAUGCAAGCGUUAUCCGGAUUCAUUGGGUUUAAAGGGAGCGUAGGUGGUCUUAUAAGUCAGUGGUGAAAUCUCUGGGCUUAACCCAGAAAUUGCCAUUGAUACUGUAGGACUUGAGUAUAGUUGCCGUUGGCGGAAUAUGACAUGUAGUGGUGAAAUACAUAGAGAUGUCAUAGAACACCGAUUGCGAAGGCAGCUAACGAAACUAUAACUGACACUGAGGCUCGAAAGUGCGGGGAUCAAACAGG
rnacentral:rRNA from 1 species